rnacentral:rRNA from 1 species
GAUGAACGCUGGCGGCGUGCCUAAUACAUGCAAGUCGAGCGAACGGACGAGAAGCUUGCUUCUCUGAUGUUAGCGGCGGACGGGUGAGUAACACGUGUAUAACCUACCUAUAAGACUGGGAUAACUUCGGGAAACCGGAGCUAAUACCGGAUGAUAUUUUGAACCGCAUGGUUCAAAAGUGAAAGACGGUCUUGCUGUCACUUAUAGAUGGAUCCGCGCUGCAUUAGCUAGUUGGUAAGGUAACGGCUUACCAAGGCAACGAUGCAUAGCCGACCUGAGAGGCUGAUCGGCCACACUGGAACUGAGACACGGUCCAGACUCCUACGGGAGGCAGCAGUAGGGAAUCUGCCGCAAUGGGCGAAAGCCUGACGGAGCAACGCCGCGUGAGUGAUGAAGGUCUUCGGAUCGUAAAACUCUGUUAUUAGGGAAGAACAUAUGUGUAAGUAACUGUGCACAUCUUGACGGUACCUAAUCAGAAAGCCACGGCUAACUACGUG